rnacentral:rRNA from 1 species
GACAGCAGAGGAAGGUGGAAUUCCCGGUGUAGUGGUGAAAUGCGUAGAUAUCGGGAGGAACACCCGUGGCGAAGGCGGCUUUCUGGGCUGUUCCUGACGCUGAAGGCGAAAGCUAGGGGAGCGAACGGGAUUAGAUACCCCGGUAGUCCUAGCUGUAAACGAUGGAUGCUGGGUGUGGGGGGUGUAAAUUCCCUCUGUGCCGAAGCAAACGCGUUAAGCAUCCCGCCUGGGGACUACGGCCGCAAGGCUAAAACUCAAACGAAUUGACGGGGGCCCGCACAAGCAGCGGAGCGUGUGGUUUAAUUCGAUGCUACACGAAGAACCUUACCUGGGUUUGACAUGCACGUGGUAGGGAACCGAAAGGGGACCGACCUUCGGGAGCGUGCACAGGUGCUGCAUGGCUGUCGUCAGCUCGUGCCGUGAGGUGUCGGGUUAAGUCCCGUAACGAGCGCAACCCUUGCCCUUAGUUACAAGUGUCUAAGGGGACUGCCCGGGACAACUGGGAGGAAGGUGGGGAUGACGUCAAGUCAGCAUGGCCUUUAUAUCCAGGGCUACACACACGCUACAAUGGCCGGUACAAUAGGUUGCGAAGUCGUGAGGCGGAGCCAAUCCUCAAAGCCGGUCUCAGUUCGAAUUGCAGUCUGCAACUCGACUGCAUGAAGCUGGAGUUGCUAGUAAUCGCAGGUCAGCUAUACUGCGGUGAAUACGUUCCCGGGCCUUGUACA